ACUCCUACGGGAGGCAGCAGUGGGGAAUAUUGCACAAUGGGCGCAAGCCUGAUGCAGCCAUGCCGCGUGUAUGAAGAAGGCCUCGGUUGUAUGUAGUCUUUCAGCAGUGAGGAAGGUGGGUAUGUUAAUAGCAUACUCAUUUGACGUUAGCUGCAGAAGAAGCACCGGCUAACUCCGUGCCAGCAGCCGCGGUAAUACGGAGGGUGCGAGCGUUAAUCGGAAUUACUGGGUAAAGCGCAUGCAGGUGGUUUGUUAAGUCAGAUGUGAAAGCCCGGGGCUCAACCUCGG
rnacentral:rRNA from 1 species